CAUAGAGUAGUUUAGUUCAGAAUCCUAGCUUUGGGAGUUAGCGGUGGGAGUUAGAAUCUCCUCUCUUUGA
rnacentral:tRNA from 2 species